rnacentral:rRNA from 1 species
UGGGGAAUCUUGCCCAAUGGGCGAAAGCCUGAGGCAGCGACGCCGCGUGCGGGAAGAAGGCCUUCGGGUUGUAAACCGCUUUCAGGAGGGACGAAGCCACUCGGGUGAAUAGCCCAGAGGGUGACGGUACCUCCAGAAGAAGCCCCGGCUAACUACGUG